rnacentral:rRNA from 1 species
UACGGAGGAUGCAAGCGUUAUCCGGAAUAAUUGGGCGUAAAGCGUCCGCAGGUGGUUUUGUAAGUCUGCUGUUAAAGCGUGAGGCUUAACCUCAUAACGGCGGUGGAAACUACAAGACUUGAGUGCGUUCGGGGCAGAGGGAAUUCCUGGUGUAGCGGUGAAAUGCGUAGAUAUCAGGAAGAACACCGGUGGCGAAAGCGCUCUGCUAGGCCGUAACUAACACUGAGGGACGAAAGCUAGGGGAGCGAAUGGG